rnacentral:rRNA from 1 species
UGUUGGCUUAGAAGCAGCCAUCAUUUAAAGAGUGCGUAAUAGCUCACUAGUCGAGUGACACUGCGCCGAAAAUGUACCGGGGCUAAACAUAUUACCGAAGCUGUGGAUUGUCCUUUGGACAAUGGUAAGAGAGCGUUCUAAGGGCGUUGAAGCAUGAUCGUAAGGACAUGUGGAGCGCUUAGAAGUGAGAAUGCCGGUGUGAGUAGCGAAAGACGGGUGAGAAUCCCGUCCACCGAUUGACUAAGGUUUCCAGAG